AAUCAACGCUGGCGGCGUGCCUCAGACAUGCAAGUCGAACGAUUAAAGCUCUCUUCGGAGAGUGUAUAGAGUGGCGCACGGGUGAGUAACACGUAAGUAAUCUACCCUCGAGUGGGGAAUAACAACCGGAAACGGUUGCUAAUACCGCAUAAUGCAGCGGCACCGCAAGGUGACAGUUGUUAAAGAUUUAUCGCUUGAGGAGGAGCUUGCGGCAGAUUAGCUAGUUGGUAGGGUAACGGCUUACCAAGGCUACGAUCUGUAACCGGUCUAAGAGGACGGUCGGUCACACUGACACUGAAUAACGGGUCAGACUCCUACGGGAGGCACGNAGUCGGGAAUUU
rnacentral:rRNA from 1 species